rnacentral:rRNA from 1 species
AGGUUAAGCUAGAAAGGGCGCACGGUGGAUGCCUUGGCACUAGGAGCCGAUGAAGGACGGGGCAAACGCCGAAACGCUCCGGGGAGCUGUAAGCAAGCGUGGAUCCGGAGAUGUCCGAAUGGGGGAACCCACUGCUCGUAAUGGGGCAGUAUCCAUGCCUGAAUCCAUAGGGCAUGGAGGGCACACCCGGGGAACUGAAACAUCUUAGUACCCGGAGGAGAAGAAAGCAAACGCGAUUCCCCAAGUAGCGGCGAGCGAAACGGGAACAGCCCAAACCAAGAGGCGUGUCCUCUUGGGGUUGUAGGACCGCUCAUGGUGGGAGUGAGAAAGGGACGGGGUAGACGAACCGGUCUGGAACGGCCGGCCAGAGAAGGUGAGAGCCCUGUAGUCGAAACUUCGUUCCCUCCCGAGCGGAUCCUGAGUACGGCGGGACACGAGGAAUCCCGUCGGAAGCAGGGAGGACCAUCUCCCAAGGCUAAAUACUCCCUAGUGACCGAUAGUGAACCAGUACCGUGAGGGAAAGGUGAAAAGCACCCCGGGAGGGGAGUGAAAGAGAACCUGAAACCGUGUGCCUACAAGUAGUCAGAGCCCGUUGAUGGGUGAUGGCGUGCCUUUUGUAGAAUGAACCGGCGAGUGACGAUGGCGUGCGAGGUUAAGCCGAAGAGGCGGAGCCGCAGCGAAAGCGAGUCUGAACAGGGCGAAAAGUACGUCGUCGUCGACCCGAAACCAGGUGAUCUACCCAUGUCCAGGGUGAAGGCCGGGUAACACCGGCUGGAGGCCCGAACCCACGCACGUUGAAAAGUGCGGGGAUGAGGUGUGGGUAGGGGUGAAAUGCCAAUCGAACUUGGAGAUAGCUGGUUCUCCCCGAAAUAGCUUUAGGGCUAGCCUCGGGCUUGAGAGUGUUGGAGGUAGAGCACUGAUUGGGCUAGGGGCCCAAACCGGGUUACCGAACCCAGUCAAACUCCGAAUGCCAACGACUUAUGCCCGGGAGUCAGACUACGAGUGAUAAGAUCCGUGGUCGAGAGGGGAACAGCCCAGACCGCCAGCUAAGGCCCCCAAGUGCACGUUCAGUGGAAAAGGAUGUGGAGUUGCCAAGACAACCAGGAUGUUGGCUUAGAAGCAGCCACCAUUUAAAGAGUGCGUAAUAGCUCACUGGUCGAGUGACUCUGCGCCGAAAAUGUACCGGGGCUAAACGUGCCGCCGAAGCUGCGGGAUGACCGUUGGUCAUCGAUAGGGGAGCGUUCUAAGGGCAGAGAAGCCAGACCGGAAGGACUGGUGGAGCGCUUAGAAGUGAGAAUGCCGGUAUGAGUAGCGAAAACAGAGGUGAGAAUCCUCUGCGCCGAAAGCCUAAGGGUUCCUGAGGAAGGUUCGUCCGCUCAGGGUUAGUCGGGACCUAAGCCGAGGCCGAAAGGCGUAGGUGAUGGACAACAGGUUGAGAUUCCUGUACCACCUUCUUCCCGUUUGAGCGAUGGGGGGACGCAGGAGGAUAGGGCGAGCAGGCGGCUGGAAGAGCCUGUCCAAGCCGUGAGGCUGAUCCGCAGGCAAAUCCGCGGAUUGGAAGGCCGAGCGGUGACGGCGACGGAGUCAUCCGGAAGUCCCCGAUUUCACACUGCCAAGAAAAGCCUCUAGCGAGGGAAGAGGUGCCCGUACCGCAAACCGACACAGGUAGGCGAGGAGAGAAUCCUAAGGCGCGCGGGAGAACUCUCGUUAAGGAACUCGGCAAAAUGACCCCGUAACUUCGGGAGAAGGGGUGCUCUUUGGGGUGAAGAGCCCUGAAGAGCCGCAGUGAAAAGGCCCAAGCGACUGUUUAUCAAAAACACAGGUCUCUGCGAAGCCGAAAGGCGACGUAUAGGGGCUGACACCUGCCCGGUGCUGGAAGGUUAAGGGGAGCGCUUAGCGGAAGCGAAGGUGCGAACCGAAGCCCCAGUAAACGGCGGCCGUAACUAUAACGGUCCUAAGGUAGCGAAAUUCCUUGUCGGGUAAGUUCCGACCCGCACGAAAGGUGUAACGACUUGGGCGCUGUCUCAACGAGAGACCCGGUGAAAUUAUACUACCUGUGAAGAUGCAGGUUACCCGCGACAGGACGGAAAGACCCCGUGGAGCUUUACUGCAGCCUGAUAUGGAAUUUUGGUAUCGCUUGUACAGGAUAGGUGGGAGCCUGGGAAGCCGGAGCGCCAGCUUCGGUGGAGGCGGCGGUGGGAUACCACCCUGGCGGUAUUGAAAUUCUAACCCGCACCCCUUAGCGGGGUGGGAGACAGUGUCAGGCGGGCAGUUUGACUGGGGCGGUCGCCUCCCAAAAGGUAACGGAGGCGCCCAAAGGUUCCCUCAGAAUGGUUGGAAAUCAUUCGGAGAGUGCAAAGGCACAAGGGAGCUUGACUGCGAGACGGACAGGUCGAGCAGGGACGAAAGUCGGGCUUAGUGAUCCGGUGGUUCCGCAUGGAAGGGCCAUCGCUCAACGGAUAAAAGCUACCCCGGGGAUAACAGGCUGAUCUCCCCCAAGAGUCCACAUCGACGGGGAGGUUUGGCACCUCGAUGUCGGCUCAUCGCAUCCUGGGGCUGUAGUCGGUCCCAAGGGUUGGGCUGUUCGCCCAUUAAAGCGGUACGCGAGCUGGGUUCAGAACGUCGUGAGACAGUUCGGUCCCUAUCCGUCGCGGGCGGAGGAAAUUUGAGAGGAGCUGUCCUUAGUACGAGAGGACCGGGAUGGACGCACCGCUGGUGUACCAGUUGUCCCGCCAGGGGCACCGCUGGGUAGCUAUGUGCGGACGGGAUAAGCGCUGAAAGCAUCUAAGCGUGAAGCCCCCCUCAAGAUGAGAUUUCCCACCGCGUUAGGCGGGUAAGAUCCCUCGAAGAUGACGAGGUCGAUAGGUCCGAGGUGGAAGCGUGGCGACACGUGGAGCUGACGGAUACUAAUCGAUCGAGGGCUUAACCUAG